ensembl:lncRNA
GCCGCGCGGACGCCGCCCCUCCCCCCGACCCCGGCCGAUAGACGCGCAUCCUCCAGGUCCCCGUCAGCCUUUCGGGGAAAGCAGAAAUCAGAUGCUGUGCGAAGGACCCUUUGCAAAAGCUUCAGCCUGCUGGCCGAGCCGGACGCCCCGGGUGGAGGCCCCUGCGGGAUCGGCCGGCGCAGCCCUUGCUUCGUCGCCAAUCCGGCUAGCCACCCAGGUCCGGGGUGCGAUGCGGGGUGCAGAGAGCCUCUUUCGCUUCGCCGACGCCCUAGGACCACGCCAGAAGGAGGAACGCAGCGGGGCGCCCCGCAGAUGCAGACAGAACCCCGACGUGGGCAUUUUUGCAGAACUAUCCCAAAGCCAAGCGGCGUUGACUACUACUACUCGCCCCUCAGGCUCUCUAAGAAGAGGGAGGGAGCGUAAAAGACACUCACCCCUCAGUCCUAGUUAUUGGAACAUGUUCCCAACACCCUGGCUGUCCCAGUGGCUGGAAGCUUAUUGCAGGAAGAUUUGCUACUUAGGAUUCCUCGUGUCCUCAGUCCAAUGACAUGAAGAAUACUGGCAUGAGGUGCAGUGGUAGGUGUGGAAGAAGCAACAUGAAGUUGAUGGAACUGCCAUUCCCAAGAAAGUGAUGCUGGCCAACCUCCUUCUCUGCCUUGAAGGUGGUUAUUGAAGUGCUUUCGCAUUUUCCCUCUGCAGCCUGUAGCCCUUCGUCACUUACUGGGCAUCUGAGGUUCUGUGUCAGCAUGAAAACUCAUUACCUGCCUGCCUGGUUCUGCUGGCUCAGCUCCUUCUUGGAAGCAGGUGGCAUUUCCAUAAUGAAUAUAUUAAAAAGAAA